AGCGUCGUCGGAAACAUUGAUUACACCAUGCCAUCACCCUCUUGCGGACGACGUAUCUACUCCCAUUGGAUGAUUCUGCAAGGCUGCAAGAUGUCAUCUGAGGUUAAGAGAUCAUUAGGACAAACACUGUUGUGCCUACUUCAACUCUAAUGGCAUCUGCUAUAGUACAUAUGGAUGUCGAGAAGGCCGCUGGCAGCGAUCACGCUGAUGAGACGGUGCAAGCAGCGAAAGCAGGGAAGGAGGAUAAUGACAAGGACACCCGUAAGCAGAUGGCUUCAAGGUCAGAGUAGUGCGUCUGAGUUGCAAUUGGAGGGCGCGAGUUUAGUUCGUGUGUUAAACUAUUAUUUUGGAUGUUAUAUUUUGAGUUAGAUAUGGUAUGCUUAUGUCUGAUCUGCUGGUUAAAUCGCAGCAUGUUAUUAGUUUUUUCACUUAUUUGUUAUUACUGCUUAUGGUUAAUUAGUGAAUCCUCAGAGAUGUGCCAAAA